GGCUUUGCUAGGGAUGUCAUUGUGAGGUUGAUAGUAUGGGUUAGUGAACGCUGGACAAGAAAUUGGCUAUUUCUUUCUCAGUAGGUUGAUGGACCAGUGGAUCAUUUUUAAGGUUAUAGAGUUUGUGAUAAAGCUCUGCAAAAAGGUUUCUAAUCUCUUGUGACUUGAUCACUUUUUUCCUGUCUGUCGACAGAAGGUGGGAUAUUUUGG